GCUUACGGCCAUACCACUCUGAACACGCCCGAUCUCGUCUGAUCUCGGAAGCUAAGCAGGGUCGGGCCUGGUUAGUACUUGGAUGGGAGACCGCCUGGGAAUACCAGGUGCAGUAAGCU
ensembl:rRNA 5S_rRNA 5S ribosomal RNA